CAUAAAGUAGAGCACACACCGUGACUCCAG
rnacentral:piRNA from 1 species